rnacentral:misc_RNA from 1 species
GAUGGACUCGUUAUUUUCACAGGUUAUCCACGCCACCAUAAAGUUAAGUUUGCAGAGAAGUCCAGAUUUGGGGGGCUGGCUAAAUUGAGGAGCUCAACGUGGUGGGUGCGAUAUUUUGUUCAAACAAGUUUAGAGGAAAAUGAAAUUGCCAUCAAGAAAUUCGAGCAAGCUGCUUCGAAGAAGUCUUAUGUUCCUAGCUGCCAAAUUUUUCACUUGAAAUCUUACCGUUGAUAUAAAUACUCAAAAUUUAUACACAGUAGGACUCACGCAGAGCUCGUGGAUGAUGGUCAAGA